UGCAACUAGGUUUGUGGGUCUUCUGAACGAU
rnacentral:piRNA from 1 species